rnacentral:lncRNA from 1 species
AGCCUAGUUGAAAAGAGAAAAAAAACGAAGUGUGUAGUAAUGAUCGCAUUGAUAUAUAAUGCGUACACCUUCCAAAACAGUGCAUAAAAUGUGCGAUUACAUAUGUCACGUGGCAGUGAUGUGACCUUGAUAGCACCAAAGUCGGCUGCAGACGUACAACAAAAUUUCCCGUAACUUUUUUAAUCUAAGCUUCCACAGGGACGUUUUUAAAAUGGAUGAAAAUUUGCAUUAGUAGAAACAUUAAAAAUCAUGUAUGGGGUAAAUGUAAGUUGAUAAAUAUCUUCAAAUUCCUGAACUUUCCAACCUUUUUAUCGGUAAAAUUAACCAUGAUGUUUUCUGUCAUUACACCGAGUAACUACGUCAUCGGAAACCCCAAGUUAAUCGAGAACGAGGUCAAAACAAAAAUGGCGUCGAAAUAGGUGUGCGUAAAAUUACGUGGUGCGACGAUAAUUUGGACGAUUCUGUGCAUGGAAUGUUUGAAACUUGCCAAAGUUAAUUCCCGAGGUCCAGGUUUGCAGUUUCUUGUUUGCCAAAGAUAGAAGAGAUCUGAAAUUCGCGAUUGUGAAAGUGAAAUCAGAGUCGAAAUGCCGCAUGAUAAUCACGAUGCACGUGCGAUUUCCCAAAGUUGUUCACGAAAACAUGUCAACACGGAACGCGCAAGAAUACAUCGAGGAAAAAACAAACAGAAGCGUCCACAAACAGAAACUAUUUGCUUGUGACACGUGCGGGAUAACAUGUCGCACGAGAAUCUUACCUGAAAAUUCAUAAGAUGAAAUAUUGCAACCGGAAUAAAGGCAAGCAAGAAGCCCAGACAACCGAAACGACAUCCCUGUGACACAUGUGGCAAAACCUUUGCACGGAAUUCGUAUCUAAAAAUUCACAAGAUGUUGCACACAAACGAGAGGCCCAGGGUUUGUCCGGUAUGUGAUAAAUCCUUUCUGCAAUCUACGAGUUUCAACAUACAUAUGAAAACUCAUUCCAAUGAUCGAAGAUACGCCUGCUCGCACUGUGAAAAAAACCUUUCUCAGCAGUUCGCAUUUAAAACGUCACCAGCUUGUGCAUUCCCAUUUCAGACCAGUUAAAUGUGAACAUUGUGGAACAAAGUUUAAAACGAAGUGCGAUUUCAAAAAACACUUGAAGAGCGUACAUUCAGAAAGGGAGAAAUUAGUAUGCUACGUUUGUUGGGAGUUUAAAAGUACAUACAGCACGCAUACAUAAUGAUUCUGACAAGCAGUGGCAGUGUUCUGUCUGUGAAAGAGCCUUCUAUACUAAGGCGGAAAUGCAAAGUCAUACUUUUGUUCAUACCGGCGAGCAACCGCACCAGUGUGUAACGUGCAAGAGGUCGUUUUCUUUAAUUGGAAACCUUCGCCGCCACGAAAAAUUGCAUUUCUCUACAAGUUGAUAACUCUGAAGCGGUCGUCGAAAAUGAACUUUCCUUGAUUUCUAUUCAUUAUAAAAAAGACAUGUAAAUGUU